rnacentral:snRNA from 1 species
GGAUGUGAGGGCGAUCUGGCUGCGACAUCUGUCACCCCAUUGAUCGCCAGGGUUGAUUAGGCUGAUCUGGCUGGCUAGGCGGGUGUCCCCUUCCUCCCUCACCGCUCCAUGUGCGUCCCUCCCGAAGCUGCGUGCUCGGUCGAAGAGGACGACCAUCCCUGAUAGAGGAGGACCGUUCUUCGGUCAAGGGUAUACGAGUAGCUGCGCUCCCCUGCUAGAACCUCCAAACAAGCUCUCAAGAUAUAAUUUUGGUGCUGGGGACUGAACCCAGGACCUUUCACAUGUUAAGUAUGUACU